GGGUUGUGAGGUUAAGCGACUAAGCGUACACGGUGGAUGCCCUGGCAGUCAGAGGCGAUGAAGGACGUGCUAAUCUGCGAAAAGCGUCGGUAAGGUGAUAUGAACCGUUAUAGCCGGCGAUGUCCGAAUGGGGAAACCCAGUGCAAUUCGUUGCACUAUCGUUAACUGAAUACAUAGGUUAACGAGGCGAACCGGGGGAACUGAAACAUCUAAGUACCCCGAGGAAAAGAAAUCAACCGAGAUUCCCCCAGUAGCGGCGAGCGAACGGGGAGCAGCCCAGAGUCUGAAUCAGCUUGUGUGUUAGUGGAACGGUCUGGAAAGUCCGACGGUACAGGGUGAUAGUCCCGUACACCAAAAUGCACAGGCUGUGAACUCGAAGAGUAGGGCGGGACACGUGGUAUCCUGUCUGAAUAUGGGGGGACCAUCCUCCAAGGCUAAAUACUCCUGACUGACCGAUAGUGAACCAGUACCGUGAGGGAAAGGCGAAAAGAACCCCGGCGAGGGGAGUGAAAAAGAACCUGAAACCGUGUACGUACAAGCAGUGGGAGCACCUUCGGGUGUGACUGCGUACCUUUUGUAUAAUGGGUCAGCGACUUAUAUUCUGUAGCAAGGUUAACCGUAUAGGGGAGCCGCAGGGAAACCGAGUCUUAACUGGGCGUUAAGUUGCAGGGUAUAGACCCGAAACCCGGUGAUCUAGCCAUGGGCAGGUUGAAGGUUGGGUAACACUAACUGGAGGACCGAACCGACUAAUGUUGAAAAAUUAGCGGAUGACUUGUGGCUGGGGGUGAAAGGCCAAUCAAACCGGGAGAUAGCUGGUUCUCCCCGAAAGCUAUUUAGGUAGCGCCUCGUGAAUUCAUCUUCGGGGGUAGAGCACUGUUUCGGCUAGGGGGUCAUCCCGACUUACCAACCCGAUGCAAACUACGAAUACCGAAGAAUGUUAUCACGGGAGACACACGGCGGGUGCUAACGUCCGUCGUGAAGAGGGAAACAACCCAGACCGCCAGCUAAGGUCCCAAAGUCAUGGUUAAGUGGGAAACGAUGUGGGAAGGCACAGACAGCCAGGAUGUUGGCUUAGAAGCAGCCAUCAUUUAAAGAAAGCGUAAUAGCUCACUGGUCGAGUCGGCCUGCGCGGAAGAUGUAACGGGGCUAAACCAUGCACCGAAGCUGCGGCAGCGACACUAUGUGUUGUUGGGUAGGGGAGCGUUCUGUAAGCCUGCGAAGGUGACCUGUGAGGGUUGCUGGAGGUAUCAGAAGUGCGAAUGCUGACAUAAGUAACGAUAAAGCGGGUGAAAAGCCCGCUCGCCGGAAGACCAAGGGUUCCUGUCCAACGUUAAUCGGGGCAGGGUGAGUCGACCCCUAAGGCGAGGCCGAAAGGCGUAGUCGAUGGGAAACAGGUUAAUAUUCCUGUACUUGGUGUUACUGCGAAGGGGGGACGGAGAAGGCUAUGUUAGCCGGGCGACGGUUGUCCCGGUUUAAGCAUGUAGGCUGGUUAUCCAGGCAAAUCCGGAUAAUCAAGGCUGAGGUGUGAUGACGAGGCACUACGGUGCUGAAGUAACAAAUGCCCUGCUUCCAGGAAAAGCCUCUAAGCAUCAGGUAACAUCAAAUCGUACCCCAAACCGACACAGGUGGUCAGGUAGAGAAUACCAAGGCGCUUGAGAGAACUCGGGUGAAGGAACUAGGCAAAAUGGUGCCGUAACUUCGGGAGAAGGCACGCUGGUGUGUAGGUGAAGUCCCUGCGGAUGGAGCUGAGACCAGUCGAAGAUACCAGCUGGCUGCAACUGUUUAUUAAAAACACAGCACUGUGCAAACACGAAAGUGGACGUAUACGGUGUGACGCCUGCCCGGUGCCGGAAGGUUAAUUGAUGGGGUUAUCCGUAAGGAGAAGCUCUUGAUCGAAGCCCCGGUAAACGGCGGCCGUAACUAUAACGGUCCUAAGGUAGCGAAAUUCCUUGUCGGGUAAGUUCCGACCUGCACGAAUGGCGUAAUGAUGGCCAGGCUGUCUCCACCCGAGACUCAGUGAAAUUGAACUCGCUGUGAAGAUGCAGUGUACCCGCGGCAAGACGGAAAGACCCCGUGAACCUUUACUAUAGCUUGACACUGAACAUUGAGCCUUGAUGUGUAGGAUAGGUGGGAGGCUUUGAAGCGUGGACGCCAGUCUGCGUGGAGCCAACCUUGAAAUACCACCCUUUAAUGUUUGAUGUUCUAACGUUGGCCCCUUACCGGGGUUGCGGACAGUGUCUGGUGGGUAGUUUGACUGGGGCGGUCUCCUCCCAAAGCGUAACGGAGGAGCACGAAGGUUAGCUAAUCCUGGUCGGACAUCAGGAGGUUAGUGCAAUGGCAUAAGCUAGCUUGACUGCGAGCGUGACGGCGCGAGCAGGUGCGAAAGCAGGUCAUAGUGAUCCGGUGGUUCUGAAUGGAAGGGCCAUCGCUCAACGGAUAAAAGGUACUCCGGGGAUAACAGGCUGAUACCGCCCAAGAGUUCAUAUCGACGGCGGUGUUUGGCACCUCGAUGUCGGCUCAUCACAUCCUGGGGCUGAAGUAGGUCCCAAGGGUAUGGCUGUUCGCCAUUUAAAGUGGUACGCGAGCUGGGUUUAGAACGUCGUGAGACAGUUCGGUCCCUAUCUGCCGUGGGCGCUGGAGAAUUGAGGGGGGCUGCUCCUAGUACGAGAGGACCGGAGUGGACGCAUCACUGGUGUUCGGGUUGUCAUGCCAAUGGCACUGCCCGGUAGCUAAAUGCGGAAGAGAUAAGUGCUGAAAGCAUCUAAGCACGAAACUUGCCCCGAGAUGAGUUCUCCCUGAGACUUUAAGUCUCCUGAAGGAACGUUAAAGACGAUGACGUUGAUAGGCCGGGUGUGUAAGCGCAGCGAUGCGUUGAGCUAACCGGUACUAAUGAACCGUGAGGCUUAACCUUACAACGCCGAAG
rnacentral:rRNA from 1 species